GUGCUUGCUUCAGCAGCACACACACUAAAAUUGGAACAAUAUAGAGAAGAUUAGCAUGGCCCCUGUGCAAGGGUAACAUAAAAUUCAUGAAGUCUUCCAUAUUAAA
rnacentral:snRNA from 1 species